GGAUUGUGGCUCAGCGGUAGAGCGCUCGCCUAGCAUGCACAGGGGCCCUGGGUUCGAUCCUCAGCACCA
rnacentral:tRNA from 1 species